CCUACGGGAGGCUGCAGUGGGGAAUAUUGGGCAAUGGGCGCAAGCCUGACCCAGCAACGCCGCGUGAAGGAAGAAGGCUUUCGGGUUGUAAACUUCUUUUAUCAGGGACGAAGCAAGUGACGGUACCUGAUGAAUAAGCCACGGCUAACUACGUGCCAGCAGCCGCGGUAAUACGGAGGUGGCAAGCGUUAUCCGGAUUUACUGGGUGUAAAGGGCGUGGAGGCGGGAAAGCAAGUCAGAUGUGAAAACCAUGGGCUCAACCUGUGGCCUGCAUUUGAAACUGUUUUUCUUGAGUACUGGAGAGGCAGACGGAAUGCCUAGUGUAGCGGUGAAAUGCGUAGAUAUUAGGCGGAACACCAGUGGCGAAGGCGGUCUGCUGGACAGCAACUGACGCUGAGGCGCGAAAGCGUGGGGAGCAAACAGGAUUAGAUACCCGAGUAGUC
rnacentral:rRNA from 1 species